GGGGAUAUGGUUUAGUGGUAUAAUUUCUCAUUUGCAAUGGGUCAUUCAUCGACCCUUGAAAAUUGAGACGGUCGUGGGUUCGAUUCCCACUGUCUCCA